rnacentral:rRNA from 1 species
GACAAACGCUGGCGGCGUGCCUAAUACAUGCAAGUUGAGCGAUGAAGAUUGGUGCUUGCACCAAUUUGAAGAGCAGCGAACGGGUGAGUAACGCGUGGGGAAUCUGCCUUUGAGCGGGGGACAACAUUUGGAAACGAAUGCUAAUACCGCAUAAUAACUUUAAACAUAAGUUUUAAGUUUGAAAGAUGCAAUUGCAUCACUCAAAGAUGAUCCCGCGUUGUAUUAGCUAGUUGGUGAGGUAAAGGCUCACCAAGGCGAUGAUACAUAGCCGACCUGAGAGGGUGAUCGGCCACAUUGGGACUGAGACACGGCCCAAACUCCUACGGGAGGCAGCAGUAGGGAAUCUUCGGCAAUGGACGAAAGUCUGACCGAGCAACGCCGCGUGAGGGAAGAAGGUUUUCGGAUCGUAAAACUCUGUUGGUAGAGAAGAACGUUGGUGAGAGUGGAAAGCUCAUCAAGUGACGGUAACUACCCAGAAAGGGACGGCUAACUACGUG